AAUGAACGCUGGCGGCAGGCCUAACACAUGCAAGUCGAACGCCCCGCAAGGGGAGUGGCGCACGGGUGAGUAACGCGUGGGAAUAUGCCCUUCGGUUCGGAAUAACACAGGGAAACUUGUGCUAAUACCGGAUACGAUCUACGGAUGAAAGAUUCAUCGCCGAAGGAGUAGCCCGCGUAGGAUUAGCUAGUUGGUGAGGUAAUGGCUCACCAAGGCGACGAUCCUUAGCUGGUCUGAGAGGAUGAUCAGCCACACUGGGACUGAGACACGGCCCAGACUCCUACGGGAGGCAGCAGUGGGGAAUAUUGGACAAUGGGCGAAAGCCUGAUCCAGCCAUGCCGCGUGAGUGAUGAAGGCCUUAGGGUUGUAAAGCUCUUUCGCCAGGGAAGAUAAUGACGGUACCUGGAAAAGAAGCCUCGGCUAACUCCGUGCCAGCAGCCGCAGUAA
rnacentral:rRNA from 1 species